rnacentral:rRNA from 1 species
CUCGACCUACGGGAGGCAGCAGUGAGGAAUAUUGGUCAAUGGACGCAAGUCUGAACCAGCCAAGUAGCGUGCAGGAUGACGGCCCUCCGGGUUGUAAACUGCUUUUAGUUGGGAAUAAAAGGGGGCUCGUGAGCCCCGUAUUGUAUGUACCAUCAGAAAAAGGACCGGCUAAUUCCGUGCCAGCAGCCGCGGUAAUACGGAAGGCCCGAGCGUUAUCCGGAUUCAUUGGGCUUAAAGGGAGCGUAGGCGGGCGUUCAAGUCAGCUGUAAAAUCGCGCGGCUCAACCGCGCCCCGCAGUUGAAACC